CUGCAACUCGCCUGCAUGAAGGUGGAAUUGCUAGUAAUCGCGAAUCAGAAUGUCGCGGUGAAUACGUUCCCGGGCCUUGUACACACCGCCCGUCACACCAUGAGAGUCGAUAACACCCGAAGCCUGUGAGCUAACCUUUCAGGAGGCAGCAGUCGAAGGUGGGGUUGAUGAUUGGGGUGAAGUCGUAACAAGGUAAC
rnacentral:rRNA from 1 species